AGUGAACGCUGGCGGUAGGCCUAACACAUGCAAGUCGAACGGCAGCACAGUAAGAGCUUGCUCUUACGGGUGGCGAGUGGCGGACGGGUGAGGAAUACAUCGGAAUCUACUUUUUCGUGGGGGAUAACGUAGGGAAACUUACGCUAAUACCGCAUACGACCUACGGGUGAAAGCAGGGGAUCUUCGGACCUUGCGCGAUUGAAUGAGCCGAUGUCGGAUUAGCUAGUUGGCGGGGUAAAGGCCCACCAAGGCGACGAUCCGUAGCUGGUCUGAGGGGAUGAUCAGCCACACUGGAACUGAAACACGGUCCAGACUCCUACGGGAGGCAGCAGUGGGGAAUAUUGGACAAUGGGCGCAAGCCUGAUCCAGCCAUACCGCGUGGGUGAAGAAGGCCUUCGGGUUGUAAAGCCCUUUUGUUGGGAAAGAAAAGCAGCAGGUUAAUACCCCGCUGUUCUGACGGUACCCAAAGAAUAAGCACCGGCUAACUUCGUG
rnacentral:rRNA from 1 species